UACGUAGGGUGCAAGCGUUGUCCGGAAUUAUUGGGCGUAAAGAGCUCGUAGGCGGUUUGUCGCGUCGGGAGUGAAAUCCACUGGCUUAACUGGUGGCUUGCUUUCGAUACGGGCAGACUAGAGGUAUGCAGGGGAGAACGGAAUUCCUGGUGUAGCGGUGAAAUGCGCAGAUAUCAGGAGGAACACCGGUGGCGAAGGCGGUUCUCUGGGCAUGACCUGACGCUGAGGAGCGAAAGUGUGGGGAGCGAACAGG
rnacentral:rRNA from 1 species